AUUGAACGCUGGCGGCAUGCCUUACACAUGCAAGUCGAACGGCAGCACGGAUGCUUGCACCUGGUGGCGAGUGGCGAACGGGUGAGUAAUACAUCGGAACAUGUCCUGUAGUGGGGGAUAGCCCGGCGAAAGCCGGAUUAAUACCGCAUACGAUCUACGGAUGAAAGCGGGGGACCUUCGGGCCUCGCGCUAUAGGGUUGGCCGAUGGCUGAUUAGCUAGUUGGUGGGGUAAAGGCCUACCAAGGCGACGAUCAGUAGCUGGUCUGAGAGGACGACCAGCCACACUGGGACUGAGACACGGCCCAGACUCCUACGGGAGGCAGCAGUGGGGAAUUUUGGACAAUGGGCGAAAGCCUGAUCCAGCAAUGCCGCGUGUGUGAAGAAGGCCUUCGGGUUGUAAAGCACUUUUGUCCGGAGAGAAAUCCUUGGCCCUAAUACGGUCGGGGGAUGACGGUACCGGAAGAAUAAGCACCGGCUAACUACGUG
rnacentral:rRNA from 1 species